GAGCUGCCCCUUCUUCCUCCCUGCCUCUGGCUCCCUCCCGCCCCGUCCUCCCCUCAGCCUGCCCUCCUGGGGUGCCUUGCAGGUAAGGAAUAACUUUUAUUACGUUUUUAACAACCUUCUUUGUUCAUUGCUUAUGCUUAAACAGAACCUUUGCUGGUGUGAUUAAAGGACAUUGAUUAUGAAAGAAGGGACUUCAGGAAGAGCCACUGACAGUCCCAGGCACAGGGACUGGGAGUAGGGAGAGUGGAGGUAUGAGGAGAGGUACAUUAGAAAGCCUGUUCUUCCCCUUCCCAGCUCCCUUUUUGCCUGGGACAGAGUAGGAUUUGCCAGCCCAGGAGCUUUUCAGACUGCCAUGAGCAGUGGAGGUGUCUGAAAACAGAGGCUUUACUGAGAGCUCACCUUGCCUUAGUGAGGGAACCACCACUCCUUCUCCACCCUGAUUGCAGGGAAACCCAAGUGACCCCUUGCCUUUCCAUGUAGUACAUGCCACUGUCCUGCCAGGGCCUUGUUGGGAUGUCUGGCCAGCAAUGAACAGGGGAGUGUGUGCUCCACACAGCCUGGGAGAGAUCUCUGGGACAUGGGCACAUCCUCCCCUCCAUGGUCAGCAAUCACACACAGGUGUUGUCACUCAUGCAUUGGCACUGCUGGGCAGCAGGGACCCUCCUGCCAUCGAGUCUAUGAUGCCUGCAGCAUUUAAUUUCCAAUGAAAUCCACCUGCACAGCUCAUCAGCAGGAGCCUGCCAGCGUGCCCUGUGGCUCCAGUGGUAUAAAAGCCAGGUAGAGAAGAGCAGUUGUUCCCUGAGCUGUGGGAUCAUGGACGGUGUGGAGGAAAUGCAGAAGAAGAUGAGUCAUCAGAGAGCUUUUCAGGAACACAAAGGCAUUCCUAGUGGAGGAUCUGAUGCCAAGUCUUUGUUGCUGGGUUUAAUAGUUACACCUGGGAUUAUUUCAUCCCACUGAACUGACCUCUUCUGAGACACUGCUGCUUCCCCCAGGCAAGGAAGAAUGGUGAGGGGAUUAGAAACAAUGCAGAGCCCAGGCUCUGUCUCCUGCUGGAGUGUGCUCUCCUUGGCUCCUGCACCAGCCAGGGCUCUGCAGCUCAGUCCCCCACAGGGCCUGGGUGAAACAGCUUCCCUGGUACCUGCUGCCCCAGGAUAAUGCACUGCUUCCCCACAUUGUGAGAGAACACAUGCCACAGCUUCUGCGUGAACAGCAAAGCAAAGAGAGAGAAGAGAACUUUCUGGAAAGCCAGGAGUGUGGGUGUAGGACUGAAGGCAGCAGAACCAGUGGCAGUACUUCCACUAAGGUAAACAGGAACAGAACUGGGUUUGCCGUGGUCUGGUGUUAAUUAGCUUCCUCUUCAGCAAUUUCUGAGUGUGCUAAUGGUCCUGAAGCAGACAUGUCAAAAGAUCCUUGACUACAAUAUACUACAGGUAACAUGACCUAGAGGGAUUAGUAGCAAGGAAAAGACACAGGAUGCCACUUUAACCCUGUUCAUCUUGCUUAGCUCUGCCUCCUCCACAGAAUUUCCUCACCAUUGUCCAUCUCCCAUUGCCUUGUGAUCUGACUGUCUCUAGACCUCCUGCCUUCUGGAUCCUUGGCUGUCCUGCCUGGGCCCCUCAGCUGGGCAAGCCACACUGUGCCAUUGCAGGGUGCUGGGGACCAGCCCUAUCAAAUCUCACUCUCUUCACCCCUUGCCCCUCCACAACCUGCUCUCUCCAGUCCUCUGGUUGUGGCCCAAUGUCUUGCCCCACUACCUGUCAUGGUCUUUUUCUCCCUAGGACUUGCUGUGCCACAGGAGCCCCUGUGCAGCCAGCAUAGCCCUCACUUGUCUGUGCCCACCAUCAUCCUCCAUCUGCAAAAUCACUUUGUCCCUUCACUCCCCUUGCUUGAUGGGGAGACAAGAGUUGAGUCACUAUUCCUUCAGCAUCUAAUAUGGGGGAAAUAAUGUCUAAAGAAGGAGCUGUGGUGGUAGAGGGAGAAGCUGCUGCUGUUCCUCUGCCUGGGGUUGACCAUUCUAGAGCUCUUGAGCAGUUCAGGUGAUGUGGGAUGGAACUGCUGCAGGGGGUGAGCCAAAGCCCUGCUCAGGGAGGGAGCUCCAAAGUGGUGAAGAAAGAGUCCUGUUUCUCAGAGUGCAGCAUGCUGAAUCUCUCCUUGCUUUAAUAAGCAGCUGCUUCUCUGUGGAGAGGCUCCCUGUCCUGUGCCAGCUCCCCUUUCAUGACAGCCAAAAUUACUCCUGUGUUAGGCAGAGGCCCUUCCAGUGAAAAGAAGCCCUUUCCUGUCAGGGUUCAGUGCAAACACCCUUUGCUUGGGAGCACUGGGCUGGAGUCUUGUCACAGGUGAGGUGUCCCAGGGGAGCCCUGUUGGGGAGCCCUGCUGCUCUCUGCUUUGUUCUCUGUCCCCCCUUCAGCUCUGUGGGAUCCCCAGGCCCCUGUGCAGCUUCUCCAGGGCUUCUUUUUCCUUCACAGUGAGCUGCCAGGCUUCUUGUGCCCACACCUGGUUACUGAUGGAUUGACGGUGUCUGAAGUUUGGGUUAUUAAUCCUGACCUGAGGCAAUAUCUCAUUAAUGAAAAUAAAACUGGAAAUUAAUAGAUGAGGAAAUAAAGAGGCUGAAAGCUGAUGAAAGGGGAAUUGUGAGGGAGAAGAGUGAAAAAAGGGAAGAAGAAAUUCAGUUUGGGACUUGAUUUCUCUGGAGGCAAAGUGGAGAGAAGGAAAAAUCUGAGUCUUAACAGGGCAGGAGAGG